AAGAAGACUUAAAAAGGGGAAACUCCUCCUGAGGGUGCUGUAGGAGACAUCUGCAAAAAAGAAGAUGCUGGCAAUAUGCCAUCAACCUCAGAGGGGAGUAUUUACCUUGAAAUGGCUCACUUCCUGAGGAACAAACUUGCUGGAUCUAGUGUACGGAAACCUGAUUCUGGGUUCCUUUGGGAAGGAGCAUUACGGGCCUGCUCCUGGACCACCUCAUAUCACCAGCACCCUCUACCCAAGGUCCUGGAGCCAACACUGGAGUAAAAGAGCACAAGAGAACUCCUUAGAGGUGGAAGGAUACCCUCUGAGGUCAAAUCAUUGGGCUUGUGGCCAUGAGACCACAGACUUUGCCUGGCUUCCAGUGACUGUCCGAGAUGACCUGUGGAGUGCACCGCCUGUACUUGGACAUCACUGUCUUUUCGGAUCCAUACCCGUCAUCCUUGGAAUUUCCCCUGCAUCCAAACCUGUUCCUGAUACAGGUAUAACCCUAAGGAAUAUCUUGGAUGUCUUCACGGGGCUUAUGACUUAUUCUGAGGUUUACAAAAUAGAGGCCCCCAGCUGAGCAAAGAGAGGGCUGCAGCGCCGAGGGAACAGCUGCCGGACUCACCGGAGAGGCCUCCUGGAGCACGCCGGGACCCCCUCCACCCCCUGGCUUUGGCUGCAUCAAUGGCUAGUUUGCCUGAACUAUAUCUGAGCCACUGAGAGUAUUUAUUAAGCAGAGAAUAAUUUUGAGUUUCACUUUUAUAACUUUUGUUUCAAAAGUUGUUUUGGAUAAUUUAAUGAAAUGACUGUAAACCAGAAUUCCCCUUUUCAUUAUUUCUUUGUGUCAAUAUAAAAAGAGUUGAUGAUUUUAAAAGCCAGUGAGAUGUCCCUGUCUGUGGAUGUCAGCGGGAGGGUGGGGUCUGACGCCUUUCUCUGGUGGCUGUCCAGGAAGAUUGCCCCAGCUUGCACUCCCUUUUGGCGGGUUCCAGAGCCUUCCAUUUGAAAGGAGCAUCUCUCACCACUCUGCCCCACCCAGCACCAGCUCUUCUGGAACCCACUGACUUCCUAAACACUUUCUUCCUCCUUCACCUCAUUGAAUUCAAGACUUUAGAAAACAGCCAAAAACUCUAGAGGUGGGGGUGGGUUCGAUCUGGAAAUCCCUGCUGUAAUCUUUUUAAGGGAAUCCACUGGAAAUUAUUAAUUUAUGUUUUAAAUAAAACCAUUCCUUACUUAACAGAAUAUUAAGCCACUCAUUUUUUUAACAGAACUUUCGAGAUAUAAUUAAAAUGCCAUAAAUUUCACCCCCACACAGUGUACAAUUCCAAGGUUUCCAAUAUAGUCACAGAAGUCUCUGCAACAAUUACCACAAUUUUAGACAUGAAGACCAUUUGUUGGCAGCCCUACCUGCCUCUAUGUGUAUGUAUAUAAUUUUAAUAUUGGAUUGGAUACUAUAGUAAUAUUGUACUGUUACCUAUUUGUGUUUUUAUAUUGCUGUUUUAUUUUAUUCAGAUGAAUAAUAAUUAUCUCCAUAUAGUCAUACAUUUAUAUAGGGUUAAACACACCUUUUUACAAUUCAAUAAAUUAAAUUGGUCAGGUAUGGUGGCUCACGCCUGUAAUCCCAGCACUUUGGGAGGCCAAGGCGGGUGGAUCACCUGAGGUUGGGAGUUUGAGACCAGCGUGAUCAACAUGGAGAAACCCUGUCUGUACUAAAAAUACAAAAAAUUAGCCAGGCAUGGUGGCACAUGCCUGUAAUCCCAGCUACUUGGGAGGCUGAGGCAGGAGAAUCACUCGAACCAAGGAGGCGGACAUUGCGGUGAGCCAGGAUCGCACCAUUGCACUCCAGCCUGGGCAACAAGAGCAAAACUCCAUCUCAAGAAGAAAAAAAAAAAAAAAGUAAAUUGUUUUUAAUUACAUAAGAAACACGUGUUAUUGUUAUAGAAAUUCACAUAGUGCUUCGGUCUAUAGAAUAAAUGUAUCCCCACCACCUCCCAGCCCACCCACUCGUCUGCAUUCACCUACACACAGUUAAACAUGCACAUAUGUUUCCGUGACACGAUCUUGCUUUGCAUAUUGUUCACUGACUGGCUUUUCCAUAUAAGAUUUAAUUUGGUGAUUAUUGCUUAUCAGUACCUAUAGGUCUCUCUCAUUAUUAUUUAUAAUUACAUCAUUAUUCCAUAGGGUAUUUUACCACAAUUUGGUCACUUUUUCACUGAGGAAUUUUUAUGUCAGUUUCAGUUAUUUGUUAUUGUUACCAAUGCUGUACUGGGCAUCCCUGUAUAUCCACCUUUUUGUUGCAUUAGUUAAGUGGUUUUUUCCUUUUAUGAUUGAUUUCUAAAAAUAAAAUACUGCAGCAAA
rnacentral:lncRNA from 1 species